AUAUCUGGUCUACUUUUUUGAGCUGUUAACAUUUUUCUGAUGGGACUAGUCAGCAUGCAUCAAUAGGAGAGUUAACUUUUCUUGGGAAGAAAUGAAGUGGAAAUAUGGUUGCUGCCUAAGAAGUAAUAAUAGGAGAUACAGGAAGCAGUUUGAAAUGGAAUAGAAACAACUUGUGAUAGAGGACAGAAGCCAUAUCAGAAGUCACGGAAUUAAUUAUGUGAGUCUGGGAUCAGUGAGAGAUGAAAAUUGAGAAGAAAGAAAACUGUAAGACUCUGUGACUUGAAAAAUCCAGGAGAGACAGGCAACUGAAUUGCUACAUUGUAUUUUCUCUUAAACCCAAGAAAAUUCCCUGUGUUAGAACAACUUGAAUGAAAAGAAGAAUAAACAGGUGUCCAACAAUAACAUUUCCAAGAUAGGAAGAAAGCGAGGGUUCAAAACGGAGUUAUAUAUAAUGUGUCUCACCAAUCACUGAAGGGGACAAGUCAUCCAUGUAAGAAAUUAACUCAACCCAGGGGAGAGGACAUAUUCCUGUAAUCUCAGCUACUCAGGAACCUGAAGCAGGAGGAUAAUUUCAGGGAAGGAAUUGAGACCAGCAUGGGCAACAUAGCAAGAUGUAAAAAAACAAAACAAAACACAAUUUUUUAAUGUUAACUAGGUGUGGUGGCAUGUUCCUGUAGUCCCAGCUACUCAGGAGCAUGAGGCAGGAA
rnacentral:lncRNA from 10 species